rnacentral:sRNA from 1 species
AGAAUCUUCUUUCUCUCUUCUCUUUUU